GAUGAACGCUGGCGGCGUGCCUAAUACAUGCAAGUCGAGCGAACAGAUGAGGAGCUUGCUCCUCUGACGUUAGCGGCGGACGGGUGAGUAACACGUGGAUAACCUACCUAUAAGACUGGGAUAACUUCGGGAAACCGGAGCUAAUACCGGAUAAUAUAUUGAACCGCAUGGUUCAAUAGUGAAAGACGGUUUUGCUGUCACUUAUAGAUGGAUCCGCGCCGCAUUAGCUAGUUGGUAAGGUAACGGCUUACCAAGGCGACGAUGCGUAGCCGACCUGAGCGGGUGAUCGGCCACACUGGAACUGAGACACGGUCCAGACUCCUACGGGAGGCAGCAGUAGGGAAUCUUCCGCAAUGGGCGAAAGCCUGACGGAGCAACGCCGCGUGAGUGAUGAAGGUCUUCGGAUCGUAAAACUCUGUUAUUAGGGAAGAACAAAUGUGUAAGUAACUAUGCACGUCUUGACGGUACCUAAUCAGAAAGCCACGGCUAACUACGUG
rnacentral:rRNA from 1 species